rnacentral:lncRNA from 1 species
UUCUUUUCCUCCUACAGGUGAUGGUUAGCUUUUGUUUUCCUCUGCUAAGGAUGUACAUAUGGUAGGAUUUCAGUGAUUACCUUUUGAAUCUGAUGUGCCCUCCAGCCCUAAAACCAUGACAUCAUUUGUGUGGUCUGAAAGCAGUCUCCAGUGACCAGUGGCAAGGUGUCAAGGCACUAACUAAGAUCUGGCUUAUAUUUCAAAUUCUCCUUUAUCUUCCAGAGUAAGUCCCUGCUCUCCUUUUGUUAUUAAGUCUCUUUCUGUCUUUGAAUCYAGGUUGCUGAGUUUAAUACACACCCACUCUCCCACAAACACUUAUAUUGACUCCAUCUAUAUUUAGAAUGUACUGUAGAUUGUAAGAAUGUAAUAUAUGUAUUUAUAAACAUGCCAACUGUGAAUAAAAUUUGCAUUUUAGUGGCUUCAUCUUUUUUCCUACUCUGAACGCCUCCCUCCUUUCACUGUCAGAACAUUUACCCUAAAAGAGACUGGCAGCAAUAUGGAAACUCGUCCUUUGAUGAAACGGUGAAUUAAGGCUCUUGGCACAACCCAGUUACAAAGUUUUACGUUGUGCAGUGUUGGCAGGAGAAGAUACAACAUCAACAACAUGUUAUGAAAUAUAUUUGCACCAAGUCACCCUUCCAAGAUUUGAAACCAUUUGCAAAUAAAUCCACGUGCGUAUUUCUAGUCUGAAAGCCUSAUAUGUGAGUUUCUGAUUUUGGUGUGAUUGGAAAGAUCCACAUUUGUAUCAGUGCCCCUCUGGAGACAUUUCUAUAAGAGUAAGUUGGUGUAAAUAGGGCUAAGGCAAACAAGCCUUCAGAGAUCAAUACUUGUGCAUGUGUUGGAUACUUGUGAGUUUAACUCCAUAGAACCCAAGAUAAAAAAAAAGUUUUGCUUUCUUUCAGUGCAUCUCAUCAGAGCCUGGAUUACGUGGCUGCUGCUCAGUCCUGCCUCCAAUACCUGAGCAGUUUGGGUGCUUUUGUAUACAUCAGUGCAUCACAUCCACAGAGUCUUACCCUUAGUGGAGGUACAAGCCACUGCCGAGAGCAGGACGUCAGACUUGCCGUACCAAUGAGCCACUGUGGUGAGUCUGGAUUCCUGUGCUAG